rnacentral:rRNA from 1 species
UGGCCAAGUUUUUAAGGGCGCACGGUGGAUGCCUUGGCACCAGGAACCGAUGAAGGACGUGAGAGGCCGCGAUAGGCCCCGGGGAGCUGCCAACUGAGCUUUGAUCCGGGGGUGUCCGAAUGGGGAAACCCGG